rnacentral:rRNA from 1 species
UACGUAGGGUGCGAGCGUUGUCCGGAAUUAUUGGGCGUAAAGGGCUCGUAGGCGGUUUGUCGCGUCGGGAGUGAAAACAUCGGGCUUAACUCGGUGCUUGCUUUCGAUACGGGCAGACUUGAGGCAUGCAGGGGAGAACGGAAUUCCUGGUGUAGCGGUGAAAUGCGCAGAUAUCGGGAGGAACACCGGUGGCGAAGGCGGUUCUCUGGGCCUGUACUGACGCUGAGGAGCGAAAGCGUGGGGAGCGAACAGG